GUGUCAGCAGCCGCGGUAAUACGUAGGGGGCUAGCGUUGUCCGGAAUCAUUGGGCGUAAAGCGCGUGUAGGCGGCUCAGUCAGUCUGCUCUGAAAGUCCGAGGCUCAACCUCGGGAUGCGGGUGGAUACUGCUGGGCUAGAGUGCGGAAGAGGCGAGUGGAAUUCCUGGUGUAGCGGUGAAAUGCGCAGAUAUCAGGAGGAACACCAAUUGCGAAGGCAGCUCGCUGGGACGUUACUGACGCUGAGACGCGAAAGCGUGGGGAGCAAACAGGAUUAGAUACCCCCGUAGUCC
rnacentral:rRNA from 1 species